rnacentral:rRNA from 1 species
ACGGCUCAGUAACACGUGGCUAACCCACCCUUGAGACGGAGAAAACCCCGGGAAACUGGGGUUAAUCUCCGAUAAGAGAAGACACCUGGAAUGGGUCUCCUCUCAAAGGGCGCCUAGACCAUGCUUCUAGGCGUUGCUCAAGGACGGGGCCGCGGCCGAUCAGGUUGUUGGUGAGGCAACGGCUCACCAAGCCUAUAACCGGUACGGGCCGUGAGAGCGGGAGCCCGGAGAUGGGCACUGAGAUAAGGGCCCAGGCCCUACGGGGCGCAGCAGUUGCGAAAACUCCGCAAUGCACGAAAGUGUGACGGGGCUACCCCGAGUGCCGUCCGCUGAGGACGGCUUUUCCCCGGUGUAAGGAGCCGGGGGAAUAAGGAGAGGGCAAGUCUGGUGUCAGCCGCCGCGGUAAUACCAGCUCUCCGAGUGGUAGGGAUGAUUAUUGGGCUUAAAGCGUCCGUAGCCGGCCCGGCAAGUCUUCCGUUAAAUCCAACGAUUCAAUCGUUGGACUGCAGGAGAUACUGUUGGGCUAGGAGGCGGGAGAGGCCGACGGUAUUCUCGGGGUAGGGGUAAAAUCCUAUAAUCCCGGGAGGACCACCAGUGGCGAAGGCGGUCGGCUAGAACGCGCUCGACGGUGAGGGACGAAAGCUGGGGGAGCGAACCGGAUUAGAUACCCGGGUAGUCCCAGCUGUAAACGAUGCGGGCUAGGUGUUGGGGCGGCUACGGGCCGCUUCAGUGCCGCAGGGAAACCAUUAAGCCCGCCGCCUGGGGAGUACGGCCGCAAGGCUGAAACUUAAAGGGAAUUGGCGGGGGAG